ACGAACGCUGGCGGCGUGCCUAACACAUGCAAGUCGAACGAGGUCGCAAGACCGAGUGGCGGACGGGUGAGUAAUACAUAGGCAACCUGCCCAUCAGUAGGGGAUACCCAGCCGAAAGGUUGGCUAAUACCGCAUACGCUCCAAGACUGGGAUGUUUUGGAGGAAAGAUUUAUCGCUGAUGGAUGGGCCUGUGGUGGAUUAGCUAGUUGGUGAGGUAACGGCUCACCAAGGCGACGAUCCAUAGCUGGUCUGAGAGGAUGAUCAGCCACACUGGGACUGAGACACGGCCCAGACUCCUACGGGAGGCAGCAGUGGGGAAUUUUCCGCAAUGGGCGAAAGCCUGACGGAGCGACGCCGCGUGGAGGAUGAAGGAUUUCGGUCUGUAAACUCCUGUCAGGGGGGACGAAUAAACUGACGGUACCCCCAAAGGAAGCAUCGGCUAACUACGU
rnacentral:rRNA from 1 species